rnacentral:lncRNA from 1 species
CGAGGAUUUUUGUAGUGAAGAAAAGCAUUGAUAAGGUUUGCAGCUAUCAAUGCUGAGGUUCUUGAAAUCAAAGAAAUGUGGUGAGCAAGUUUUAGGCUUGUUAGCUCCAUAUGCCAGAGGAGAGAAAAAUGGGAUGAUGACAGCUUUUUAAAUGAGAGCUUUACCAUUGCUAUACGUGCCUUGCUCUUCAGAUUGACAAACCUUGAAGACCAUUCAGAAAUGGCAGCUGAUAAAAAUUCAGGAGUUUGAUUGCCUGAAAGGUUGACUUGAAAAGUAGCUGUUGACUACAAUGACUUCUUGCUUA